rnacentral:rRNA from 1 species
GAUGAACGCUAGCUACAGGCUUAACACAUGCAAGUCGAGGGGCAGCAUGAACAAAGCUUGCUUUGUUUGAUGGCGACCGGCGCACGGGUGAGUAACGCGUAUCCGACCUGCCCAUGACUCGGGCACAGCCGCUCGAAAGAGCGAUUGAUUCCCGAUAUGUCUAUGAAGUAGAUUCAUGGAUGAAAGAUUCAUCGGUCAUGGAUGGGGAUGCGUAAGAUUAGGUAGUAGGCGGGGUAACGGCCCACCUAGCCGACGAUCUUUAGGGGUUCUGAGAGGAAGGUCCCCCACACUGGUACUGAGACACGGACCAGACUCCUACGGGAGGCAGCAGUGAGGAAUAUUGGUCAAUGGACGGAAGUCUGAACCAGCCAAGUAGCGUGAAGGAUGACUGCCCUAUGGGUUGUAAACUUCUUUUGUCGUGGAACAAAACCUGCCACGUGUGGCAGUUUGCGUGUACACGUUGAAUAAGCAUCGGCUAACU